rnacentral:rRNA from 1 species
AUUGAACGCUGGCGGCAUGCCUUACACAUGCAAGUCGAACGGUAACGGGCCUUCGGGUGCCGACGAGUGGCGAACGGGUGAGUAAUGCAUCGGAACGUACCUUUCAGUGGGGGAUAACGUAGCGAAAGUUACGCUAAUACCGCAUAUUCUGUGAGCAGGAAAGCAGGGGAUCGCAUGACCUUGCGCUGAUUGAGCGGCCGAUGUCAGAUUAGCUAGUUGGUGAGGUAAAGGCUCACCAAGGCGACGAUCUGUAGCGGGUCUGAGAGGAUGAUCCGCCACACUGGAACUGAGACACGGUCCAGACUCCUACGGGAGGCAGCAGUGGGGAAUUUUGGACAAUGGGGGCAACCCUGAUCCAGCCAUGCCGCGUGAGUGAAGAAGGCCUUCGGGUUGGUAAAGACGUCUUUCGGUCCGGGGAAGAAAUACGGCAUGGGUUAAUAACCCUGUGCGGAUGACGGUACGGCAUAAGAAGCACCGGCUAAC